GACGAACGCUGGCGGCGUGCCUAAUACAUGCAAGUCGAACGCAGUGGGGACGGGUGAGUAACACGUGGGUAACCUCCCAUCAGAGGGGAUAACACUUGGAAACAGGUGCUAAACCGAUACUGAUGGAUGGACCCGGGGUGCAUUAGCUAGUUGGUGAGGUAACGGCUCACCAAGGCCACGAUGCAUAGCGUACCUGAGGUGGGGUUCGGCCAAAUUGGGACUGAGAAACGGCCCAAACUCCUAGGGGAGGCAGCAGUAGGGAAGCUUCGGAAAGGGACGAAAGGUUGCCCGAGAAACGCCGCGGGAGUGAAGAAGGUUUUCGGAUCGUAAAACUCUGUUGUUAGAGAAGCGGUAUCUAACCAGAAAGCCACGGCUAACUACGUGCCAGCAGCCGCGGUAAAC
rnacentral:rRNA from 1 species